rnacentral:rRNA from 1 species
AUUGAACGCUGGCGGCAGGCCUAACACAUGCAAGUCGAACGGUAACAGGAAGCAGCUUGCUGCUUCGCUGACGAGUGGCGGACGGGUGAGUAAUGUCUGGGAAGCUGCCUGAUGGAGGGGGAUAACUACUGGAAACGGUAGCUAAUACCGCAUAAUGUCGCAAGACCAAAGAGGGGGACCUUCGGGCCUCUUGCCAUCGGAUGUGCCCAGAUGGGAUUAGCUUGUUGGUGGGGUAACGGCUCACCAAGGCGACGAUCCCUAGCUGGUCUGAGAGGAUGACCAGCCACACUGGAACUGAGACACGGUCCAGACUCCUACGGGAGGCAGCAGUGGGGAAUAUUGCACAAUGGGCGCAAGCCUGAUGCAGCCAUGCCGCGUGUAUGAAGAAGGCCUUCGGGUUGUAAAGUACUUUCAGCGGGGAGGAAGGGAGUAAAGUUAAUACCUUUGCUCAUUGACGUUACCCGCAGAAGAAGCACCGGCUAACUCCGUGCCAGCAGCCGCGGUAAUACGGAGGGUGCAAGCGUUAAUCGGAAUUACUGGGCGUAAAGCGCACGCAGGCGGUUUGUUAAGUCAGAUGUGAAAUCCCCGGGCUCAACCUGGGAACUGCAUCUGAUACUGGCAAGCUUGGGUCUCGUAGAGGGGGGUAGAAUUCCAGGUGUAGCGGUGAAAUGCGUAGAGAUCUGGAGGAAUACCGGUGGCGAAGGCGGCCCCCUGGACGAAGACUGACGCUCAGGUGCGAAAGCGUGGGGAGCAAACAGGAUUAGAUACCCUGGUAGUCCACGCCGUAAACGAUGUCGACUUGGAGGUUGUGCCCUUGAGGCGUGGCUUCCGGAGCUAACGCGUUAAGUCGACCGCCUGGGGAGUACGGCCGCAAGGUUAAAACUCAAAUGAAUUGACGGGGGCCCGCACAAGCGGUGGAGCAUGUGGUUUAAUUCGAUGCAACGCGAAGAACCUUACCUGGUCUUGACAUCCACGGAAGUUUUCAGAGAUGAGAAUGUGCCUUCGGGAACCGUGAGACAGGUGCUGCAUGGCUGUCGUCAGCUCGUGUUGUGAAAUGUUGGGUUAAGUCCCGCAACGAGCGCAACCCUUAUCCUUUGUUGCCAGCGGUCCGGCCGGGAACUCAAAGGAGACUGCCAGUGAUAAACUGGAGGAAGGUGGGGAUGACGUCAAGUCAUCAUGGCCCUUACGACCAGGGCUACACACGUGCUACAAUGGCGCAUACAAAGAGAAGCGACCUCGCGAGAGCAAGCGGACCUCAUAAAGUGCGUCGUAGUCCGGAUUGGAGUCUGCAACUCGACUCCAUGAAGUCGGAAUCGCUAGUAAUCGUGGAUCAGAAUGCCACGGUGAAUACGUUCCCGGGCCU